rfam:Picea glauca, whole genome shotgun sequence.
ACAUGCCUACAACAUAGCGUUAAUGCAUCGGAUCCCAUUAUAACUCCACAAUUAAGCGUGCUCGGUCUAGAGUAGUACUGGGAUGGGUGACCGCUGGGGAAGUACUAGUAUUUUACAUGCC